UAAAUAUAUCAAUUAUUCAUAAUGAUUCAUCAUCAUGUGUAUUAAUAACACUUAUUUACAAAUUAAAUAAUUUUUUAAAUGUUACAGGUCUGUUAUAUCAAGUACCCCCGGGUUAGGAACAGAGAUGAUCCAUGGGUCACUGUUACUUCACUCAACCUGAGAGGCCGAGUUCAGGGAAGUUCUGAGCUGGAAGACCCACUACAACCAAGCACAUCCGGUAACUUAAAUGCAGCAGAAGAUUUAGUUGCAGUUGGCCUUGUAGUCGAUUUAACCGACUUUGGAGAUGAAGCCGUCGUUCAGCCACUGUCGGGAUUCUUCAUUUCCCGCUCCGGUUUUUGCUCCCGCUGCUGCACCCUCUCCCGUUGCUGCACCCCCUCCCAUUGCUGCACCCCCUCCCGCUCCUCCAGUCGUUCCGGGAGUGAUGACUGUUGCCCAGUUGGUUCAACAGCCCGGUCGUGAGCAUCUUCCCUAUCUCACUCCGUGUCCAAAGGGACGACUUCAAACAUGGUAAUUUAAAGUCUUUUUUUUUCCUUUCAUUAAAAUUUGAUUCAUUAUUAAUAAUUUGUUUCUUAUAUUAGGUUCAACCGAUCCGGGAACGGGAUCAGCGCAUGGAUCAACAAUAUGAUGUACUCGAACCUCAGCAAGGGAUAUCCGACUUUCACUCACUUCCCUGCCGAGGACCAGGAGAUGUGGUUUCGUCAGUUUGCGCAAGAGUUCACCUGGAAUCCCGAUCACACGAACUUUAUCCUUGACGCCUUCGUCCAUAAAGUUAUGGACAACUAUGGGAAGCAGAUCUACGAGUGGAAGCAGAAGUGGCUCAUCAACCAGGUUUUUUUUAAUUUAUUAAACAAUUUUUUGAAUUUAUUAAACUAGUUUUGGAUUUAUUAAACUAUUUUAUAUUUUUUUAUUAAAAGGUCCCGAAGUCGAUUAACAGCACGGUCUGGGAGGAGUUGUGUGUGCAUUGGGAUAAGGACGAGACGAAAGCUACCUCUGUGACCAACUCCGCCAACCGAAAGAGCGAUCGUGGCGGGAAGGGCAUGUACAAGCACAAUUUGGGUGCCCAGAUUAUUGCCACUCUGGGGGAUCGCUUGGUAAGUUCAAUCUCUCUCUUUUUUUUUUAAUUAUUUAAGUAUUUUAUUUUAAUUUUUAUGCAUUUCUUCUAAUUUCUAAUGUUUGUUUAACUUUUGUUUUUUUCAAGGCGGAUGAAAAUGAUGGCGAGCCGGUUGAUGAUUUCGUCCUAAUGAAGACGGCGCAUACCAACAAGCACACCGGGGAGAUUGAUGAUGGUGUUGUGAGGGAUGUGCUCAGCCUGAUCGAAACUCAGAAGGAAGACGAAGAGACCCGUCUAUCUCAGCUUCAAACCGACCUGGACGCCACUUCGACGGCUUCGACCAACUUGUCCCGGAUUCGAAUCAACGAAAUCGUUGAAUCGUCGGUUCCAAAGAAGAAGGGACGUUUGGUC